UGUCCCAUGGUGUAAUGGCAGCACUGUAGAUUCUGGCUCUGCCGGUCUAGGUUCGAGUCCUGGUGGGACAA
rnacentral:tRNA from 1 species